CGGACGGGUGAGUAAUGUCUGGGAAACUGCCUGAUGGAGGGGGGUAACUACUGGAAACGGUAGCUAAUACCGCAUAACGUCGCAAGACCAAAGAGGGGGACCUUCGGGCCUCUUGCCAUCGGAUGUGCCCAGAUGGGAUUAGCUAGUAGGUGGGGUAACGGCUCACCUAGGCGACGAUCCCUGCUGGUCUGAGAGGAUGACCAGCCACACUGGAACUGAGACACGGUCCAG
rnacentral:rRNA from 1 species